CAAGUCGAGCGGCAGCGGGAAGUAGUUUACUACUUUGCCGGCGAGCGGCGGACGGGUGAGUAAUGUCUGGGGAUCUGCCUGAUGGAGGGGGAUAACUACUGGAAACGGUAGCUAAUACCGCAUGACCUCGCAAGAGCAAAGUGGGGGACCUUAGGGCCUCACGCCAUCGGAUGAACCCAGAUGGGAUUAGCUAGUAGGUGGGGUAAUGGCUCACCUAGGCGACGAUCCCUAGCUGGUCUGAGAGGAUGACCAGCCACACUGGAACUGAGACACGGUCCAGACUCCUACGGGAGGCAGCAGUGGGGAAUAUUGCACAAUGGGCGCAAGCCUGAUGCAGCCAUGCCGCGUGUGUGAAGAAGGCCUUCGGGUUGUAAAGCACUUUCAGCGAGGAGGAAGGGGUUGAGUUUAAU
rnacentral:rRNA from 2 species